rnacentral:tRNA from 1 species
UGGUCCCGUAGCUCAGUAGGAUAGAGCGACAGAUUCCUAAUCUGUAGGUCACAGGUUCGAUUCCUGUCGGGAUCACCAC